GUUGCUGCAGUUGGCGUAAUUUGCAACUGUCAAACCGCUGUCAAGUUUAAGUGCGCGUACAAAAAUGUUUAAGCUGCCGAGCGCAGUUUUAAGAAUAAUGAUGAUGAACGCCAAAAUACGGCACCACAGCAGGCAAAGAAGCAACUGCUCUGCCACACAGUGACGGAGGCAUGCCACCACAUUUUGGCUGACCGGUGAUAAACAAGGAACGUUGGCUGCGACACUCACUGCAGGCCGGGACUAGUGCAAUUUGGAUUUUCGCAUAACAACAAAUAAGCACCAGGCACGACCUACAUCAGCAACAACACCAACAAUAAUAAAAAUAACGAAGGCACACACAACAGGCGGGCAAGCAAUUGCUCGGCUUGUUGUUUUUUUUUUUUU